UGUGGCCAUACCUCCUUGUUAAACCCAGAUCUCAUCCUGUCUGAUAAGCUAAGCAGAACCGGGCCUGGUUAGUACCUGGAUGGGAGACCGCUAGGAAUACCAGGUCAGAGAGUCACAG
rnacentral:rRNA from 1 species